UCUAAGUAAUACAAAAAGAAAUAAAUAAAAAGUUAUUUUUAAAAAGAAAAAAAGGCCAUUAUAUUUAGCAAUUAUGAGAUAGUAACUUUGGAAAGAAUAGAUUCAGUUGAAUGAUGAGAUAGAAAGUCUUACAUAAAGUUAAUACAAUGAGAGGAGCAGAAGUGGAGGUAUCUAUUGCAGACAGCCUUCUCAAAGAGUUUAGCCAAAAAAGGGAGGAAAGAUGUAGGAAGAUAACCAGUGGGGAUGGACAGAUCAAGUGAGGGUUUUUUGAGGAUACGAGAGACAAGCUACUGUAACACUUCACAAUUUCAGCUAUAGCCUCAGGGAGCUUUAGGAGGCCUGAGGAGGCAUGAAAAGUUUUUUAAAGACCCUAUGUAAUAAGAGGGAUACAGAGUUGAUUAAGGAGGUAUAAAAGGGGGGCCCUGCUGAAGAGAGGACCCAGUGGAGAUUACACAACCACCCUGUAGUAGACCCAAGCAGAACCCACAGUUUCUCCAUUUCCUCCAGCUUCAUUCAGCACACUGCCUCUCAAAUAUGUUUCUGAAUAAGCUGAGAGGGAACCUGGACUUGGAUCUACUGGACCCACUGUCACAGAGGGGUCACAAAGGUAUGUAUAACCUCUUAAUGGACCUCUUUUAGGAGUCCCGUUAUUUCCAGGCCUGAGAUUUACCUCCCCAUCUGAAGGUCAUGCCUUUCUUACUACAGAAUAUGCCUGUUUGCCCAGCCUCCUCUAGGAAACUCCUCCCUAUCUACCUUGAGCUCAACGUACUUGCCCUGGCAAUUGCAUACAUUUUUGGUGGCUUGGGCCACCUUAAGGGAAUACACAAAAAGAAGCCAUGACAUUCCUCUCUUCUCCCAAGAAAGCAUUUUGGAGAAUAAGACAAUGAGCAAUCAGCUGGGCGCUAAGUUAACCCUGAUGACGAGCUUGCCUAUGCCUGGGCUCCUCCUCUGGCACCACCCCUUAUACCUGAGAGCAAAGCCCUGGCACUAGGACCCUGCAGACAGGGGUCCCGAGCCUGCGCUCUGAAGGGCUGCACCAUUUCACAACUUCAGCUUCAGCCUCAGCAGCCAACAAAGCUGCUGUCACUGCUACCAACACCUCAGUUGACUCUGUUUUGACUUGACUGCUGACCGGCUGCACCAAUGCAGAACGCCCUCCUUUCUGCCCUCCUUUCAAAUCAAGAAGCAACAUCUGAGCACAACUAGAAAAAAAUCUCUUCCAUGGAUCCCACUCAGAGGAGGUAACCAUAGCAACCUGCAGAUGAAAGCAAUAGAGAAGAUGCUCCAGUAACUGCAGCAAGAAGAGACUUCUCAGCAUGACACAACAUAGUCUGAAGGGGAAACUCUCCUGCUCCCAUGGAGGAGAUCUCUCCCAUCCUUGGAGAAACAUGGAAGAAAUCUGGAGCCAAGAAGACUCCAACAGUGGCGAAGUUAGACAGAAUGAUGAAAAGGUUUCUACUGGUUAACUGCCCUCCAUCAAGCUCAGUUUGGGAUACAGUGUCACAAUAGACAAAGUAGUCCCUCGCUCAGCUGGCCUGGCUCCUUCCAGAACACAGUGCCUUGGCUAACAGAUCAAGACUUGUCUGGCCUGAGUCAAGCAGGUUGCCAGGCUGCUGCUCUGAAUUGGUCGGACAGUACUACCAGCUCCAGCGGUUUCUGCUAACAGCUCUGUUUGCUGAGAGAGCCUUUUAUGUCUCUUCAAGCAACCUUCUGAAGCUCCCAAGCUCACACUCUGGGUCAACAUACUUCUGUUACCAGGUAUCCAUUCCCUAAUAUUAAGAAAGAAUGGAAUGCAAACAAAAUAAGAAACAGUAGCAGCACCGAAGGUUUGUAGCCACAAGGCAGCUGGGUAAAGGAUUGUCUCACUGGGCAGGGGGAGAAGAGAGAGAUUUCAACAUUUGAACCUUUUGUGCAAACUCCGUUCUGAUUCAGCAGUCAAUUGAAAAACUAGAUUUGCAACAAAGUAAGCCAGCAGAAAACAAAACAUCAGCUCUCAAAGUGUGCUCAGAUGGUAACUGGGGGCUCCCCAAAACCCUUGCAGGGAGCUCUAGGUGGUCAAAGCUAUUUUCAGAAUAAUACUAAGAUGUUAUUUGCUUAUUAAAGUAUUUCUCCCUUUUCCAACUACAUAUCUCUACAAGGCUUGAUUUUCUUCAUAUAUAUUACUUCAUGUACUUUCACCAUAGACUUCAUUUAUUUCAUAUACACAUUUUCUUCAUAUAAGCUUCAUAUACUUGAUUGUUUUCAUAUACAUAUAACCAAAACAACAUACCACAGUAGACUAAAUGUAGAAGACGAUAUGAAAAUUCAGCAGUCUUUUAUCAAGCUAAACAUUAAAAAGAUUUACAAAAAUAUGUACCGUGCCAUUUGUCUCUUAAAUUUUUUUAUUUUUAUUUUCAGUUCCAAAUUCUCUCCCUCGUUGCAUCCCUUCCCCACAAGCAUAUGAAGUCAUGCAAAACA